AUUGAGUUCUCUUCAGGACAGGUGGUCUGGGAUGCUCAAAGGCUUACUCACUAACCUGUGGAUUACAGAUUACCCUUGCUGUUUCUACUCUCUGUCUCCAUUUCUGACAUCUCAUUGUUCUUUAACAACCCAACCUGCAGGAGACUGGAUCAAAGGAGAGAAGAUAAAAUGGAGCUGGGUAUGUCGUGUUCCAGACUAAAAUCUGCAUCACAGAGCCACACUCUGAAAGAAAUGGGCUUCUGUGGUCCCUCUCACUGCUGCCACAGACAUAGCACCGGGAGGCAGAAGAAGAAUAAAGAAUGGUAAAAGAAUAGUGAGAAAAUCUAAGGGGGAAAAGAUUCUCAUAUACAAUUACGAUGAUGCAAUAACAGACUAAGAUCGACUCUGAUAAACCCUCCACUCCCCAAAGUCAAAGAAAGUUGACCAACCGUGUACUUUUAUUUAUUUAACAACUAUUUGCUAGGUGAGUUUAAGUGAAAGUCCAUCAAGCUAUUUAGAAUACUCAAUCCUUCAUUUUGCUACAAUGCCUUUUACUUUCUAGUUUAAUUCAUAAUAAACCUGGCCCUGUCUUUCCCUACAUACUAUUUGUAUCUGUCCUCAAAAGAAGAAACAACUACAAAUACUGCAAAAUAUGUUAAAUUCCAAAAUAUCUUUCUCAGUUUUCACAAUUGCUUAAUUUCUUGCCACAGCCACCCAUUAGGUCAAGGAUCAGAGCCAAACUGCUCUUGAUAAUUCCAAGUCCAAAUUCUUCCAUUCAUUCAACAAAUAUUUACUAGGCACAUAUUGUGGCACUGUUCUAAGUAUAGGACUAGGGCAGAAAAUAAGACAGACAAGGUCCCAAACUUGUAGGGCUGACAGCACAGUAGGGAGUGAAGUAGGUAAGGGAUAGAUAACAAUCACAAAUCAAAACAAAAACGUAAUGCAUUACAUGAUAAAUGACACAGUGAAGAACAAGGUGGAAAUCAAGGAGAAGAAGUGCCAUUUAAUACACUGUCACCAGAGAUGGCCUCACUGACCUGGAUAAGGUGACAUUUGAGGAGAACGAAGAAGUGAAACAGACCUCUGGGAGAGAGCAUUCUAGGAAAACCAAAUGCGAAUACCCCUGAGGCAGGAGAAUCCUGGCAAGUUCUGGGGAAUGGUGAGGAGGCCAGUGGGGCUGAAGUAAGAGUGGAAAAGAAGGAAAGUGUGGGGGAUGAGGUCAGAGAAACUGACGGGAAGGAGGGAUUGCCAAUCAUGUACGCCUUGUAGGCCACUGUAAGACUUGGGCUUCUACUUUGAAUGAUACGAAAACCCUCUGGAGGAUCUUGUCCAAGGGAGUUACAUGACCUGACUGGUGUUUUAGAAGGAUCAUUCUGGUUGCUUUACUGAGAAAAAACUAUAAAGGGGACCACAGAGAGACAAGCAGGCUAAUGAGGGGCUUUUUGCACAAGGCACAAGAUAAUGGUAGGUUGGUCCAGGCUGGGAUCAGUGAGCGGUGAUCAGAUUCUGGCCACAUUUUGAGGCUAGAGGGAGCCAGUUAUACUGAUCACAUGUGAGGUGUAAGCUGUGGUGGAAGCAACUAGAAAGAUGAAGGUGCCAUUUAUUUAGUGAAGAAUAUGACAGGAACAGGUGUGGGGAUGGAGAGCAAGAAAAUUAGGAGUUAAGCUCUGAAUAUUUUGAGAUACUUAUAAAACUUCUAAGUGGAGGUGUCAAGUUGACAAUUAAUGUAUACAAGUCUGGGGUUCAGAAGAGCUCCAAGCAAGAGAGAGAAAUCUGGAAGUCACCACCAUACAGAUAAUGUUAAAAGCCAUGGGGUUAGAUUAAAAAAAAAAAAAAAACACCUAGAGAAUGGA